UAUGAAUAAUGCUUGUUUGCAGGACAUAUUGCUAAGAAUCUGCCACAUUAUGUUUGCUUGAGGUAUUAAUUUAUCCAGGUGUUUAAUGCUGGAGUACAGUUAGAAGAUCCCUAAUCAAUUGCUUCUCAUUUCAGUCGUGUAACUUUAUUCAUGCUACGGCAGCGACUUUGAGCGAACAUGAGACCACUGAGCUCUGGAAUGAAUGAAGGACGUCAUCUUUGGAAGUCGGACAUCACCUAGAGCUAGGGUGUCCAUUCUUGACAUGUUUCUCUUAGUGAUAGGUGGAUACUGUCUAGUUAGGAACAGAGUCUUGAGGGAUUGAUGGACGCAUGCAUCUUCAAUUCCUGUGUGUUGUAUUACUACUGGUACAAUCUCCAAUUCUUGUGAACUUAUGUAUU